rnacentral:antisense_RNA from 1 species
GGAAGAAGGAAUCAGGAGGCAGAGCACAUGGUUAAAGCAUGAGAUGUGAAACCAGGAAGAACCAGGUCUGAAUCUUAGCUCCACCAGUGGUAGCUCCAAACCUUAGUCCUUUCUGAGCCUGCUUCUUCAACCCUAAGGAAUUCGGAAACGGGACCCAGAAAGUUGUUUCCUGCAAGUGGCUGGAACAACACAAGCAAUAAAUGCAAUUUUACCAGACCAAAAACUCUCUAUAAAGAACAAAAUUAGUGGCCAGGUACAGUGGCUCAUGUCUGUAAUUUCAGCACUUUGAGAGGAUGAGGUGGCAGGAUUACUUAAGCCCAGGAGUUCAAGACAAGCCCGGGCAACAUAGCAAGAUCCUGUCUUUACCAAAAAACAAAAACAAAACAAAAAAACACAAAAUUAGUAGUUUCCAAGUUUUUCUUUCAUUAGUAUCAAUUUUUUAUUUGUUCUGUUUGCACCAGGCAUCAAGGUUU